rnacentral:rRNA from 1 species
CGUGGCCUCCUUGGAAUCAUAAACGACUCUCGGCAACGGAUAUCUCGGCUCACGCAUCGAUGAAGAACGUAGCAAAAUGCGAUACUUGGUGUGAAUUGCAGAAUCCCGUGAACCAUCGAGUUUUUGAACGCAAGUUGCGCCCAAUGCCAUUUGGUUGAGGG